rnacentral:rRNA from 1 species
AGAGUUUGAUCCUGGCUCAGGAUGAACGCUGGCGGCGUGCUUAACACAUGCAAGUCGAACGAAGCGAUCGGGAGAAAGUUUUCGGAUGGAAUCCGGAUUGACUGAGUGGCGGACGGGUGAGUAACGCGUGGGUAACCUGCCUCAUACAGGGGGAUAACAGUUAGAAAUGACUGCUAAUACCGCAUAAGCGCACAGGGAUGCAUGUCCUGGUGUGAAAAACUCCGGUGGUAUGAGAUGGACCCGCGUCUGAUUAGCUGGUUGGCGGGGUAACGGCCCACCAAGGCGACGAUCAGUAGCCGACCUGAGAGGGCGACCGGCCACAUUGGGACUGAGACACGGCCCAAACUCCUACGGGAGGCAGCAGUGGGGAAUAUUGCACAAUGGGGGAAACCCUGAUGCAGCAACGCCGCGUGAGUGAAGAAGUAUUUCGGUAUGUAAAGCUCUAUCAGCAGGGAAGAAGAUGACGGUACCUGAGUAAGAAGCCCCGGCUAACUACGUGCCAGCAGCCGCGGU